UUCCCAUCCCAGCUUCCACAUGUAUCCGGGCACACCCGGCACUCGGCAGCCGCUCACACUAUCUGCUAAUGGUGACCUUAGAGAUGAUCCCCGAGAUGGAAGGGCAUCAGUCCAAAAUGGCCACGCAGCAAAUACAAACGGUGUGCCAGACAACUUGUCUCGGUGACACCUGAAUCAAGGCAGUGACCUUGUGUCACAAAAGGAGCAGCUGCCAUAAAUAUCCGAAGUGGUGUGAAAUACCAGGCUGCUCUCCACAGCCUAUAAAACGGACAUAAAUGUUUACUUCAUACUAUAAUUAGAAGAGGGGCCAUGGGUUGCCAUAAAAACCUAAAGAUGGAUGUUAAAUCAACCACCUCCAAGGUAUCAUAAAUUCUGCCCGAGGUUACACGAGUGUUUAGUAAACACUGAUGAAAAUUUUACUUACAA
rnacentral:lncRNA from 14 species